UAUCGCUCGCGCAUUAUUGUUGCAAUUGGGCAUUUUUAUUAUAAUUUGAAUUAUCUUAUUUUGUUACUUGCCUAAUUUUUGCCAAUUUAGCCGGCUAAAAGUCAGUUAAAACCGGCUCGUGCGAUUGUGAAAAAUGAUUCGCAAUCAGAAUCCGGGAUAUAAUCUGUUGGGAUGUACACGGCGCUGAUCGCUGAUCCCCUUUCUAUCAUUCUGCUGCACCUCCAUCGUGCGGUAGCGGAAUUUUCAUUUUCCCGCCGAUUGGAUUCAAAGCAGUGAGCAGCAUAGAAUUUGCUGCUGCAGGUCGCUUUCGGCCGUGUAGCGGCGCGGAGCCAAUCAGAGAGCUGCUGCUGCCGCUGCUGCAUUGGCGGGAACAGAAACUGGGCAAACACACCAACAUUGCCGGAAAGAGGGGGAAAAGUGACAAAACCAUCGCCGCCGCCUCGCUAGCGGCGCUAGCGCCAUUUGCCAUUAGACAUUUAGACAUUAGACUAAUAGACGAGUUAAUAGAGUAAGCAGGGCCUGUAUGUUUUGCAACUGUCCCUCAUCCAUUUUGUGUAUUUGUCCGAUUUUCCCUUUCGACAAUCUGAUCUAAAGCACGUAAUUAAUUGGAAACCUCCGAAUUUCGACACAUCUUUUGCACACGAAUAUCUCAAUUUCCCGCAGAGCAGCGUGAGUAUGUAUGUAUUUACAUAAUUUUCCGAGAUUCUUGCCUUGCAUAGAUUUGAUUAUGAUCUCAGUCUCGUGCGUGAAUCAUUUGCUUUAUCGUGGCUGCGUGUUUUUUAAGGAUUUCAUCUUUUGGUGUGUAUUUUACAGUUGCAUUACGCGGAUGAAAAUUCAUGUGUACGUAAAUUCGCUAAAACUUUUGCAACUGCGCUCGAAUAAAUUCGCAUGUAUGUAUGAAUGAAAAUACAUACAUUCAAGCAAUCGCUGGUUUUGGCACAGCGAUUGCCGGUGCCGGUAUCGAUCCAAAAGAUAGAAAAAAUCCUUUUGAAAAACGAAGACGUGCAGUCAGGAUAAUGUGAGUUAUUUAUGUGCGAGACCCAGGUUUUAAUCAAAUCUUUUCGAGGCAAUUUGGAAAAUGUAUGUACAUUCGCUGCAUGGCGGGAAAUUGCGGGAAUGUGUUUAAAUCUCAGUCACGUACACCAAUCAUUUCCUGUAGCGUGACUGCAAAAGGCUUAGUGUUUACAAAAUUUCAGAUUCGGGUGUAAUAAAUUAAUUUGCAUGAACUUUGCAACUGCUUUUUAUGUAUGUUGCAUGAGACUAGAGGUUUUUAUCUGUUCUCUCCUGCGGUGGUGUUGACGCAUUCCUCUUUGCAGCCUGGUUUCGACCGUCGAAAAUGGAAAUAAUGCGCGGCCAGUAAUGAAGUUUAGUACAUUUUUAGGUGUACAAAAAGGUAUGUAUUAACACUAUAAGGAUUUUGUUUUUCAUGCACGCGAUGUAUGCAUUCGAUUCGUCGCUGUUACAUCUACUUUCAACCACACUCAUUUCGUAAAAUCCAGAACAAGAAUUAAGAUGAUGAACCAGAAGCGUGGCAGCCAAACGGAGAAAGGAGAAAAAGCAGCGCAGCCGAAGGGAGGAAAUAAUCAGGAGGAUCAAAGUAAUGCAGCGGUGUUUUACCUUAAUUAACCGAUCUAGUCAAACCAAGCAGUUUUUUUAAAAGACUUUUUAGAAGUAGCUUUCGCGCAACACUGAAAAGGAUUUCUCUAAUAUCAGCGGUAUUUCGUUGAGCCAAAAUAGAUUUUCGCAGCUGUAAGUUGCGAGUAAUCCUGUCGGAAUAUAUUUAUUUUUAGGCUUACGUUGCCUCUGCUUUAAUUAAUAAUUGAUGCAGCGAUCUGCACCACGGGAAAAUGGUAAGUUGGGAAUCGCUCUCUACACGCACUGCGUACUCAAAAUUUAGCGUCUGCUGACGCUCGUGAUAACUAAAAUUGAAACGACCUCUCAUGGCGCGAAAUACUAACCGUUUCCGGGAUUAAUCCGGAGAAAUGGUGGUCUUUUGCGCAAUGGAAAAAUUGCGAACCCUGGAGGUUUGACGCACAAAUUUCUAAGAAAGUUUGCAUAUUUUUCAGGCUGUUUUCUUAUGGAACGGAAGGUAUUUCUUCAAUUUCUGGUUUAAAACAAGUUCGCAAAAGAUUCAUUACAAAUAUUUUCUCACGAAAAGUACCCAUUUUUAAAAUUUCAAUUUUUUGGGGCUUUGAAGCCGGCGGCUGCCCAUAAGUGACUCAAAAAUUUGACGGCCGGAUGAGACCUCUACAUAGAAUCUAAUAUUAAUUUUGGUAAAAUUAUUUAGUCAUUUUUUAUGCGUCCUAAUCUAUUUUUUGCAUUGAAUUCUUGGCUCUCAUUUUUGAGACCAAUUUUUUAUAUUAUUUAUUUUGCACUUUAAAACUUGUCUGCCAUCCAUUUAGUUCUUGGAAAUGUUUAAGAAACUAGGUGUGGUAAGAAUCGGAAAUAUAGCAAAAUAAUGUUUCAAUCGGUGCCAGUUUUUGCAAAAAAUAAAACUUAUUUAUACACAUUUAAUCCUGAAGAUUAAGUUUUCUGAAGCUAAAUCAGUAUUAUAACACCCUUAUUCAAUUGUUUGCGUGACGUUGUUGGCUUCAAAUCUUGGUGGGCUUCGUGUUUUUUACGGAACCAUCUAAAUUACUUCCUGGAAUAUUCAAAACGUAAGAAAACAAGGCAUCUGAUGGUCAAAUGCAUUAGUUUUUUAUUUUAAAAAAUAUUUGCAGUCCUUUCUGGAUUCGGUGCCAAUGCGAAUGAAUUCCUCUGCUCUGUUUUCAGAGUUUCGUGCGAAAGGAGUGUCAAGUUUACGCCCGGACUGGUAUGUAUUUCUGAUUGCCGGGAUCAUCUCAACAAAGCCCUCGCGGGUGGCAGAGCAGUGCGCAUUGUUUUGCUAAUUUACUCCAUAAAAAGGCGAGUCUGAGACUCUACGUUAAACUAUAGGCCAAGGAGCUGGCAUUUGGUUAUCUUGGACCAGCCGGCAUGAAAAUUAAAACUGAAAUCUCUGUGCACGCCCUAGAAGUGCGUGCAGCUGCACUAAAACGCUACGGACGCGCGUUGGACGAUUUUAAAAAUUAAUUUCCAUCACUGUAGCCGCUUAUUGUCCGAAUGGAAUAAACUGAAAGCCGUCUCAGCAGCAGUAGUUGUCACGUACACCAAUCGGCGGAAUAAGUCUACAUUUUAUUUAAAAUUUCUUAUUUUGGUGUAAGUAUUUUAGUUGCUUUACGUUAUCAUAUGUGUGUUUUUGCACAAACUUUGGUACUGCGUUUUAAUAAAUUUCUGUCUAAGCAAUCGCUAGCUGGCGACAGCGAUUGCCGGUAAUAUGCGGAUCAAACCUAAACGAACGGAGCCUUGCAGUCACGGUGAAGUAAGUUAAUUUUUACACAGGUUUUUUUAAUGAAAUCUUAAAAAUAUUUUUAGAGCAUACGUUGCUCCAUGAUGUUUGCAUUCGUCUGUGCAGCAUGGAUUUUAUCGCAAAAUAUGCAAAUUAUACUAGAGGAAAAUGGAUUUCCCAAAUAUCGGCGGUAUUUGUUGAGUCGAAACUAAUUUCCGCGGAUUAAAUAAGAGUAUAAUUAUUAUUUUUGGCGGCUAUAAUUAUUGACUGUCGAUUUGCUGCGGUGUGCAGCAGGGGAAAAUGGUAAGUUUGGCAAUAUUCUACGCUCGCUACUCAAUCAUCAACAGGCACAAUCUGCUUGUUUUGCGUCUGCUGCCGGCGCAUUGCUGAAAUACUUCUCUUUGCUCACUAUUACUCCUGCGUCUACGGUUUCUCGCACUAAUUUCUUUAUAAAUUUGCAUUUUUCCAAAGAGUUCUCUAGAAUGGAAGGUAAGACGGUUUUCUUCAAUUUCGAUAACGCUCCUGAAAGUUGCUUUCAAUUUGUAUUCUUUCUAGAAAUAUGCAGUCAAUUUAAAUCCUUAUUUUGGCUUUGGAAUCGAUUCAAGGUAAGAAUUAAAAAAAAAACUGCAUUGUGUUGCCUGCAGUAAGCAGUUGGACAAAUUUGAAGCCGAAAGAUGGAUACUAUUAAAAUAUAAUGGAUUUUUUUUAAUAUGAUGGAAUGUAAAUUAGAAGCCUCAGCCGCGAGUUUUAAAUUUGCUGAUGGCGGUGCCAGCUUCUCCAGUAAUUGUGCAGUAUGGUGUGCCGAAAGCCUUUUUUUAUCUCGACCCUUUUUCACCGGUGGCUGGCAGCCCAGCCAGUUUCACGGCGGCUGCGCACGUCACUCUAAAAGUUUGAUGGCUGCCUGCGUAACCUUUUACAUAAUUUAAAUUCCUUGUUCUGCGUUAUGCUUAGUUUGCAUUUCAUUUUAAAUUAUACAUUAGCUUCAAAUUUUAAGACGGAACCAUCUGGAUUUUUUGUUGGAAUAGCCGGAAAGGUAAAAAAUUAAAGUUACGUGAAACAAGGAAUUGAACGAUCAAUUUAUUUUUUAUUAAAUUUUAAAAAUUAUGCUUGUUUAUGCGCUUAUGAACUCUGUGCCAAUUUGAUUGAAUUUACUGCUCUGUUUUCAGAGUUUUGUAGGAGUUUGACUCCCGCAAUGGUGAGUACUUCGGCGUAGCGGCGGAUCUUCUCAUCGAAGUCUUCGCUGGUGACAGUGCAGAGCGCUUUUUGCUGUUGGUUCGCUAUAUUAUUAAAGCGGCGCGGACCUACUUAAAAAAUUUAUUCCUCGAUUGUUAAAAAAGACUGCAGCCGAGAUGAAAUAAUAUCUUUCAUGCUGUAAUGUAUAGCCGUGAUCCCAUUCUAUCAUUCUGCUCUUUCCUGCAAUGGUGGAAUUUGAAUAUUUCCGCCGGUUUCAUCGGCAGAAAAUUCCUUGCUGCUGGUUACUCCCAUCCCGCAUCGGCGUGUAGCCAAUCGCAGCGCUACAACUGCUGCUGCUGCUAAAUUUGCGGGUAGCCCGUGGAAACGCGAACAUUGACGAAAUGAGGGGCAAGUGCGACAAAUAAUCCAAUUUCAGGAGAGGAGCAAUGCUGAGAGAUGCGAAACAACAGCAAGACGGAAAGGAGUGAGUAAGGAGUUAGGAGUGAGGUGAACGUAGCUGGUCAGCCCCCCACCACCGCUUCCCCUCUUUUAAUGACUGGCUGUCUCGCAUCUCCUUACCAGCACCGUCUUCUACUCCCAGCCUAACUCUCCUUCAGUCAUCCUAAUCCAAUGCAUUGCUGCUGCGCCAGUAAACCUAAGCGAACAAGCGUGCCUGGUAGAUGGCCUCGGAGGUCGGAGGCGGCCACCGAGGGACACCGGCCGAUUGAUUACAGAAUUUGGGGCAGAACGUGAACUGCUGGGUGGCCCUUUGCCUGUUGGAUGGAACUACGUGGCGGCACCUGCCAGGAACCUGUGCUUCCGAGAUUCGAUUGUGGAGGCGCCACUGCUGCGCGGCGCCAGUUGAACAGACUCAACGCUGCCAUUGCGUGUUUCCGAAACGUUGUGAUCGUGCGGCGCCGAAAAUGUCCGAGGCCCACGAGGGCCUCCUCAAGCGGCCAACCGGAGACGCGAGGCCUUCACCCUGGCCGCCACUGCCUGCCGCAAGCUAGACCACGUCCCUCGGUCACUGUCGAAUCCUGCGAGCCGGGAAGCGCGGUGGCCAUGUUUUCUUUAAAUUAACACCUGGCGCGGAUGAUGCCUACCUGAGAGCCUCGGCGUCGAAGAUGAGGCGCGCCGUCUGCUCGAAUUUGGUCUCUUGAGUCGGCUGCGUCAGCCGUGUCGAGGCCGCGGCCGCCCUCGAGCCAGCCCUGCGCCAUCCGCAUCACGUAGCCCCUCGGUGGCCCCCAGCCUGCAUCCCGGUUCCCGCCGCCGCUCUCCAGCCACUUGGGACGCGUCUGCUCGUCCAGUUCGGCUUUGGACUUGUUGCGAAACUGCAGGUGUGGUUCGAAAAGCAAAGACGAGCCUUUUGAAGCGUUUCAGAAAUAGACAAACGUGCAAUUGGACCAACUUCCAGCAGGGGGCCGCGACGGCAAGCCAAAGUCCAAAAAGCCGCAGGACAACGACGAGUCGGACCAGUCGGGCGACGAGGAGAAACAGCAAGCCCAAACUGCAGCUAGUCGACGACAAAACGUCCGGCCCUGGCGAGAAAUAGAACAAAGAAGGAUUCGCUCCUCGCGGCAAGCCCUCCAGGCGCGGCCGCGGAGGGAUAUCUUAAAGAGGUUUGAGUUUGUCGUGGUUCAAGUCGAGACAGCGCGCCAGCCAGCCGUGAGCACAGCUGGUCCGGCUUGGAGCCGUCGUUUGGUAGCAGCGAGCACGCCUAAUAUUGUAAGCCACUGCUUCAGCUCACUCAGAAUGUUGAGAAUCCUGCGUGGCAGCAAGCAGUUGCCCCGUAGUUAAAAACCCUGUAAUAAUUUUGUUUCUUUGCCAAUAAAAUUCAUCGAAAGCUGA